CUCCAUCGUGAUAUUCUGACGCUCUAUCUAAGUUACCGUCGUCGUUAGUCGUUUACGUGGCCACUGGCCAGGCCUGGCCUCGAGACUUUGUCCAUCGGGAUCACCGUGACGUCUUCGCUAUCUUCAUUGAUCUUAUCGGCCGGAGCUGCCCCGAGUCGUCCCCUCGAUAUCAUCUUCCCCGCUGGCCACCGAGGAUCGCCAUCGCGGACGCACCCUCGAACUUGCUGAGCUACCCGUCUCCUUGAUUAGGCUGCUUCCCUUCACAAGAUUUCAUGGUAGCAUCAUGCUUCGAUGGUUGAGAGCUUGAACCAAGUCGUUUGAAACAUUUAUGUAUCGAUU